UAUUCCCCUGAAACAUAUACUCAACCCAGAAGGAGCUAUGACCAAAGGAAAAAAGACAUCAAUGAGAUCUCCUCCCUGUGCCUGACUUUGGCAAACUCGACUGGAAGCCAGCCCUCUGUGGAGUUUGAGGGAUGCAGUCCCUGGGAUCAGACUCUCAGGGCAACAAAACAUGUCAGAGAAGGGCAAAGGAAGUAUCUGAGUUGGAAGCUGUCCAUUCCCAGCCAUUUUUGUUGCUCCUACUGGGACCCACAGUGUUGGGAUUCUUGCUUAUGAAAAUACCCAACUAACAGCUUCUUUUGUAAGUUCAAAUACAGUCACU